rnacentral:rRNA from 1 species
AUUGAACGCUGGCGGCAUGCCUUACACAUGCAAGUCGAACGGUAACAGGUCUUCGGAUGCUGACGAGUGGCGAACGGGUGAGUAAUACAUCGGAACGUGCCUAGUAGUGGGGGAUAACUACUCGAAAGAGUGGCUAUUACCGCAUGAGAUCUAAGGAUGAAAGCAGGGGAUCGCAAGACCUUGUGCUACUAGAGCGGCCGAUGGCAGAUUAGGUAGUUGGUGGGAUAAAAGCUUACCAAGCCGACGAUCUGUAGCUAGUCUGAGAGGACGAUCAGCCACACUGGGACUGAGACACGGCCCAGACUCCUACGGGAGGCAGCAGUGGGGAAUUUUGGACAAUGGGCGAAAGCCUGAUCCAGCAAUGCCGCGUGCAGGACGAAGGCCUUCGGGUUGUAAACUGCUUUUGUACGGAACGAAAAGCCCCGGGUUAAUACCCUGGGGUCAUGACGGUACCGUAAGAAUAAGCACCGGCUAACUACGUGCCAGCAGCAGCCGCCG